CCCUUAGAUGUCCUGGGCUGCACGCGCGCUACACUGAUGUGUCCAGUAAGCACCUAACCUCUUCCGAAAGGAACGGGUAACCUUUGCAAAGCACAUCGUGAUGGGGAUAGAUUAUUGCAAUUAUUAGUCUUGAACGAGGAAUUCCUAGUAAGCACAAGUCAUCAGCUUGUGUUGAUUACGUCCCUGCCCUUUGUACACACCGCCCGUCGCUCCUACCGAUUGAAUGUUCCGGUGAGCUCUUCGGACUGCGCGGUCUGCAGUUUCUGCGUUCCGUGCGGAAAGUUGCGCAAACCUUAACAUUUAGAGGUAGGAGAAGUCGUAACA
rnacentral:rRNA from 1 species